UACGUAGGGAGCAAGCGUUGUUCGGAGUUACUGGGCGUAAAGGGUGCGUAGGCGGCUUUUAAGUUUGGUGUGAAAUCUCCCGGCUCAACUGGGAGGGUGCGCCGAAUACUGAGAGGCUAGAGUGUGGGAGAGGAAAGUGGAAUUCCUGGUGUAGCGGUGAAAUGCGUAGAUAUCAGGAGGAACACCGGUGGUGUAAACGGCUUUCUGGACCAUAACUGACGCUGAGGCACGAAAGCGUGGGUAGCAAACAGG
rnacentral:rRNA from 1 species